rnacentral:rRNA from 1 species
CUCAGAUUGAACGCUGGCGGCAGGCCUAACACAUGCAAGUCGAGCGGUAACAGGAAUUAGCUUGCUAAUUUGCUGACGAGCGGCGGACGGGUGAGUAAUGCCUAGGGAACUGCCCAGUCGAGGGGGAUAACAGUUGGAAACGACUGCUAAUACCGCAUACGCCCUACGGGGGAAAAGAGGGGACCUUCGGGCCUUCUGCGAUUGGAUGUACCUAGGUGGGAUUAGCUAGUUGGUGAGGUAAUGGCUCACCAAGGCGACGAUCCCUAGCUGUUCUGAGAGGAUGAUCAGCCACACUGGGACUGAGACACGGCCCAGACUCCUACGGGAGGCAGCAGUGGGGAAUAUUGCACAAUGGGCGCAAGCCUGAUGCAGCCAUGCCGCGUGUGUGAAGAAGGCCUUCGGGUUGUAAGCACUUCAGCGAGGAGGAAAGCGUUAAGCGUUAAGUAGUCGUUUAGGUGUGACGUUACGUCGCAGAGAAGACGGCGUAACUUCGG